rnacentral:rRNA from 1 species
GACGAACGCUGGCGGCGUGCUUAACACAUGCAAGUCGAACGGAAAGGCCCUGCUUUUGUGGGGUGCUCGAGUGGCGAACGGGUGAGUAACACGUGAGUAACCUGCCCUUGACUUUGGGAUAACUUCAGGAAACUGGGGCUAAUACCGGAUAGGAGCUCCUGCUGCAUGGUGGGGGUUGGAAAGUUUCGGCGGUUGGGGAUGGACUCGCGGCUUAUCAGCUUGUUGGUGGGGUAGUGGCUUACCAAGGCUUUGACGGGUAGCCGGCCUGAGAGGGUGACCGGCCACAUUGGGACUGAGAUACGGCCCAGACUCCUACGGGAGGCAGCAGUGGGGAAUAUUGCACAAUGGGCGGAAGCCUGAUGCAGCAACGCCGCGUGCGGGAUGACGGCCUUCGGGUUGUAAACCGCUUUCGCCUGUGACGAAGCGUGAGUGACGGUAAUGGGUAAAGAAGCACCGGCUAACUACGUGCCAGCAGCCGCGGUGAUACGUAGGGUGCGAGCGUUGUCCGGAUUUAUUGGGCGUAAAGGGCUCGUAGGUGGUUGAUCGCGUCGGAAGUGUAAUCUUGGGGCUUAACCCUGAGCGUGCUUUCGAUACGGGUUGACUUGAGGAAGGUAGGGGAGAAUGGAAUUCCUGGUGGAGCGGUGGAAUGCGCAGAUAUCAGGAGGAACACCAGUGGCGAAGGCGGUUCUCUGGGCCUUUCCUGACGCUGAGGAGCGAAAGCGUGGGGAGCGAACAGGCUUAGAUACCCUGGUAGUCCACGCUGUAAACGGUGGGUACUAGGUGUGGGGUCCAUUCCACGGGUUCCGUGCCGUAGCUAACGCUUUAAGUACCCCGCCUGGGGAGUACGGCCGCAAGGCUAAAACUCAAAGGAAUUGACGGGGCCCCGCACAAGCGGCGGAGCAUGCGGAUUAAUUCGAUGCAACGCGUAGAACCUUACCUGGGUUUGACAUGGAUCGGGAGUGCUCAGAGAUGGGUGUGCCUCUUUUGGGGUCGGUUCACAGGUGGUGCAUGGCUGUCGUCAGCUCGUGUCGCGAGAUGUUGGGUUAAGUCCCGCAACGAGCGCAACCCUUGUUCACUGUUGCCAGCACGUUAUGGUGGGGACUCAGUGGAGACCGCCGGGGUCAACUCGGAGGAAGGUGGGGAUGACGUCAAGUCAUCAUGCCCCUUAUGUCCAGGGCUUCACGCAUGCUACAAUGGCUGGUACAGAGAGUGGCGAGCCUGUGAGGGUGAGCGAAUCUCGGAAAGCCGGUCUCAGUUCGGAUUGGGGUCUGCAACUCGACCUCAUGAAGUCGGAGUCGCUAGUAGUCGCAGAUCAGCAACGCUGCGGUGAAUACGUUCCCGGGGCU